ACCACCGAAACGCUGUACCACAGCAAAACGUCAGGGGAAACACAGACCCGUAAACGCAGCCAAAACCGCUGAAAAUACUGCGGCAUUGGGCUGGCCGUCAAUACUACAGCAUUAGAAAAAUACUACUGUACGAUACUAUACGGCAAAGCACUGCAGCUAUUGCUAAAUUAGUUCGUGUGUUUUGUGGGCGGGGCUUAACUGGUGGCAGAAAGUGACAGGCUAUAGUGGUGUCGGGUGAAGGAAUAUGGAUUAUACGGGAACGUGGACUAUCCAGACGCCUUCUCUCGUUACUUUAAUGGUCUGCCAGCAGAAGACUCGCGAGCGCUCAUAAACCCACCACGAAGUUGGUAACCCUCAGCGUUGGGCUGAGAGAUCGUGACCCGUAGGCUGCGCAUCGUCGGGCCAUGUGUGUCAAACCGCGUGGCCAAAGUUAGAGGCGCCGUGGAAAAACCCCAGGCGUGCUUCUCCACGCCUAAGGGUUCACACUCUGCGGUCACGUCCAGGACCACGGGUACUGAGGAUUGUGAGAUGUUUUGGUUUUUUUGCGUAUUAUGGACUGUAGCCCUGCCUAGACAACGAAAAGGACAUAAAACGCAGCUAUACAAGGGCCGUUAGAAACAAAUCACUAUAUACUCACGGUGAACUGCACUUAUUUGGCUGGGUUGGUGUUAAUUCAGUGUUAUUGUACGCUAGAACAAUGCGAACCUUGCGUCUAGCACCACGGCUGCCGCUGUCAAGCUAUGCGUAAAAUGUUAUUUCUAGUUCUAGUUUCAUAGUUUGCCCCCAUAAAUGCUUUGCCUGCAAAGUCAUCUUCCGUGACCGUAUUCUAUAAAAAAAACUUGUUUGUUUUUCUGUUUCUGUUCUGGCAUCCAACAUUGCAACGGAGCAUUUUUGUCAUUGUUCGUGCUGUGACGUAACCGUGAUGUCCGCUCCAGGUUGGCCUGUGAGUUUAGUCGGAAACUUAGGUCGAUUCGAGAUCGGGUCUGAUUCGAGAGCAGGUCUGAAGUGCCAUCCCGGUGCUGGAAACGCCAGUCAGAUCAAGAAACGGCACGCGUGACGAUCGUAAGGAACCAAACAAGAAACGAGUCUGGACAAGAUUUCAUUGGCUUAUCG